AAUACAAUAUAUUAUCGUUUUAAUAUUAAAAAAGUUUAAUAUUUGUUUUAAAGAUGGGGUUAUUUUUAUCCAAUAUUUUUUUUUAACUUAUGAAAAUUAUUAUUAAAUAACGAGAAUAUGCUUUUUUUAUGUGCGUGUAAUAGUUAUACAGAAAUUUCUCAUACAAAUAAAUUGUCUGUUUAAUGCUAUGCAUAACUUCAUUUCAUUAUAUUUUAAAUUUUAAAAAUAGAUAUUCUCAAAACAAAAAUUUUUUUUUCAUACUAAUAAAGAAACAAUGCCUAUUUUUGUUCAAUUAACACAAACAUUAUAUGUGCAAAACACUUGCAAGAGAAAAGUUUAGUGGAUUUGGGAUUAUUGUACUCACAGUAUUUUGCACAGUAAAUUUGCAUACCUUAGGCGUUUUUAUCAUAUCGCUUGAAUGUGUACGAUAUAUAGCUGAUACCGUACCAAAUUUAAGUAAGUCUUCGUCUUUUAAUUCGUACCAUUUAAGGCAUUCUAGUAUUUUCUGUGGAAAAAAGAAACACUAAAUUAUCUUCAAAACUGACAUUUUGUCAUAUAAAUUAAAUAAAGCAUUAGCUGUGUUAAUAUAUAAAGAUGUAUAACGUCUUUUACAUUAUUGACUUGUGUCACAUUAGACGAACAUAAAUCCAAAACGUAGGCUGAGUUCCGAUCUUCAAUUUUUAUUUCAGCAUGUACUUUUGAUACUGUCUAAAAAAAGAUUUAAAAUGUUAUAAACAUCUUAAUAUUUAGCAACAAGUACAUGUUUAUUGGUUUUCUAAUAUAUAAAAAGUAUAUACAAAAAAGUUGAUCUAAAAAGAUUUUCUGUGAAAAAUCUUUUAGAAAGAACUUUAAAUAAUAUUUAAGCUAAACCAAACAUUUUUAACAUUGUUUUACAAUAAACACACGUGCAAACGAUAUUAGUGAUAAUCGUUUUGACAAAGGUCUAUCUAUGUUUAAUCCGAACUAUAUAGAUUUAUUUUAAUAAUGCUGUAAAUAUAUAUUUGUUACACAGAUAUUAUCUAAGUAUAUAUAUCAAUUUAUACCACGAUCUUGUAUUGAUUAAAAAUUUUCUUUAUGUCUAAUUUACAAAAACUAUUAUCAAUAAAUUUUUUUGUACAUAAGAAUUAUGUUGGAACUUACCUCAUCGUUGAUAACAAUGUCGCAUUUAGGGUUUCUGCCAAUUAUACAAACUUCUUCCUUAAUUGGAUAGCUAUUGGAAUUAAUGAUUAAUGUUUCCAUCUAAAUUUAAGGCACCUUUAGAGAUCAACAUUCUCAAUGACAGUUAGUGUUAAUUUAAGUGUUUAUUUUAAGUAAAUCUUGCUUGUGUUAAAUAAAUAAUAAAUGUAUUUUAAGGCUAUUCAUCAGGGAAAUGGUUUUUGCAACAAUAACGUUAACUUAAAAGAAGAAAACCGAGAAAAAUGAGAAACUGCUUUUUUUUUAGCAUGAGAGCAAAUUUUUCUGUAUGUACUCUCGAGAUAAUUUAAUAUUUUAGUCUGUUACAUACUGCCCGUAUGUUGACAAAUAAAUUGAAAUAUAUUAAGUAAUUAAGAUAAAUAUUACAAUAAAUUAUAAUUAUCAAGUUAUCAACAAAAUAUAAUUAGUUGCAAGAAUUAAAUUACAAUUGUAAAUAAAAGGAAAAAAACGAAAUGUUGCUAAAAAUAAAUAAUUCUAAUUUUGACAAAGCAACGAGUUAUUUCUCAACAUUCAUGUGUAAAUAUUACAGCACCAAACAUUGUAGUAAUGUUACAGGAAGGUUACGAUCUUACAAAUGUCAUUAAGAAUGUUACUGCAAUAUUUCACUAACCUUACAAUACAACUUAACAUUGUAAUAUUGUCGGAAGGUUAAUAAAAUAUUAUUUUAAUCUUAAGCGCAAUUAUAUAUUUUUUUUCUUAUAUUAUUUUUUAAUAUGUACGUUUUCAUAUAUUUUCAUAAUUUGUUAUUUAUUAAAAAUUAAAUUGGUAAUACUUAAGGAAAGCUUACUGUUCUCCGAAUUUGUUAAAACUUAAUUAUUAUAUAAAUAAUAACACAAUAUUAUGUGUUUUUGUGCAUAGAAUCACAGUAUAAAUAUACACAGUAGCGACAUAUUCUUUCAUCUCAGACAAAUAUUUUGAAGCUUCUUUAACCCACUGUAUUUGCCAAAUACCUUACCCCUGUUGUUGCUCUAUAACUCUAUAAGGUCUUUAAGUAUGGCAGCAAAUGGCAACACUUAAUUCCAGUACUAUCAGUAAGGGUGAUUGAUUGGGAGAUAAAAGGGAGAGUGGUGCAUAGGACUACUGGUGAAGGACCACUAUAAAAAUCCUAACGCGCCAAGUUCGGGACCUCAAUAGGUGGUGGGGAACUCCGAAGAGUACACCGGACUUGUUUCUAACGAUACACAUACGCAAUAUGCUUGAAAAGAGAGAUUAUGAUAUAGUAAGAUUGGUUUCUCAACCAAGCAACCAAAAGAUGUAAUUAUUUCUGCCGUUACGGACGCGCACACAUAUACACAUAUAUGUAUGUAUUAUGCGAAAUACAUGAUACGUUUAUUUUUAUUUUCAGCGCCGGUGUAUCGAAAAUGAUUCCUAGGAUUGACUUGACAAUUACACCUUUUAAUCGGCAUGUCUUUAGCUAUCUUUUAUCAGAGUUUGAGCCAAUUUGUAUGAAACCCAUUUUUUUCCUACGAAAAAUGGGUUUGCGGGGUCUUCUACAAAUUAUUUGAUUUAAAAUUAAUGACUUCUGCAAAAUUUUUCUCUAUUGAAUUCCGAUUCUUACGAGCUUUGAAAUAAGUUUUCUAAAUAGUUUAAAACAUGAAAAUACUACAGAUUUAGUUUAUAUGUAUACCUGUAAAUAUAUACAUAUAUUUAAAAAAAUAAGUUUUGGAAGGAAUAAAACUAUAUUAAGAAAAACCAAAGCUGUAAAAGAUCAGAGGCACGAUAAUAUCAAAUUUCAUUGACGAUGUUAUUUUUGUAUUUUUGACAUUAAAUUGAGUUCACAACAAACUAUGAAAUUUUUGUAUACACUCGUUUUCUGUAGUUCCAGGUCUAAGCAUUGCAAUAGCGGUACACAUAUUUUUUAAUGCAUUAUUUCAAAGCUGUUAUGAUAAUUUGGCGUGUCUACCGUGUACAAACACGGUUUUUUUUGUAAGCUUCUAUGAGACAUAAUACAGCUUUUCUUGUUCACUUUUUUCUUUUUGUUUCUGCGUUGUAGAUAUCAUUAAAUGAACAAUACUUAUUUGUCUUUACUUAAGAAACUACAGAAAACAUAAUAAAAUAGUAAUUAUAUAAUAAUAUAUAUAAUAAAUAUAAUUUAUUCAAAAAUUCAUUCAAAAAGAUAAUGCGUUUACGAAGCAUUUCUAUAGUUGUGACCCAUCUUCAUAAAUUUGCAUACAAAUUUUAAUGCGCGAUUAUUCGAUGAUUGUAUAGCAAAAUGAUACUGAGAAUCAUAAAGUGCACCAAACUGUAAUACAUGGAUAAUAGCAUUAAAUCCAUAAGUUUUUUGAAACUCCACAGCAAUAUUUUUAAUUUUUAUAAUUCUUAAUUUUAGCCCAUUCUUCAAAAGAAAACCUAUUUUUCUUUCUUUAUCUAGUCUUUCGUUGAGAAAUCGUAUUCGUGGAUAUGACUGAAAAUAGAAACCUACUUUUGGAGGUUUAGUUUUAUCACAUUUUGAAUUUAAAUUUUUCUUGUUACUUUUAAGAAGUCUAGUUAAUAUUUUUUCUUCAUUUGGGCAUAUCUUUGUGUAAUCAUGAUCGAUUAAUGGCGUAUUCGAAAAUAUAAGUUUUCGCGUUAAUAAUUCAGCAGUCAGUGUAAAUCCGUUUUCAGUUUGUCUUGCUCAUAAUUUGUAAAAAAAUUAUGAAUAUUAUUAUUGUUUGACUCAAUAUAAAAGGAAUUUUGAUUUCAGAAAAAAUUAAGAAGUAUCUUCAAUAUUUUUUUAUUCAUUUGGAUUUUCGGGAUUUAAUUUGUUAACAUCUACAAAAAAUUAUUUUUAUUGACAAGUCCUCUCCACGCUUCAUCACUCUUUAAAUUAGAGUCCGUUCACCAUGCGGAUCCUCUCGCAAUAAACUUAUUGAAUUAACAUUUACAUUUACAAUUAGCUGAUGUGAUGAAAAUUUUAAUCCUUCAUCUGCUGAACAGUAUUUAAUGUUGGUUUUCGUACUGAAGACGUUGACUCAAUAUCUGCUGAACAUGGAAAGUGGUACAGAUAUUUGGGAAGAGAAUUCUGAAUAUUAAUCUGAUAAACAUGCUGCUGAUGUUUUCAAAAUGGAUUUUGGUCUUUCGCUUAACAUACAUAAAGUUGUUGUGGAUUUUUGUGAGUUUUGGAAUUUUCCAUUGUCUGUACAUAAAGUUGCAGUGAGAUCUUGUAUGUUUUUUAAUUUACUGUUGGAUAAACAUAAAGCUGAUGUAGGUUCUUUUAUAAAAGAUCCUGAAUUUUUGUCAAGUGAACAUGAAGUUGGAAUAACUUUUCGCGGAGCUGAUUUUAAUUCUUUAGUAGAUGAAUGUCAAGACUAUAUCAGAUUUUUGCGAUACUGGCUAUAUAAUUCUUUUUUUUUCUGAUGUAAAUACAGAUGUAUCGGUUGUCUACCCAUUUCAUUGUCAUCAUAUGUGAUUAUUUCACUGUCACUAAUCAUCUGUAAUAUCCUAACAUCACCUGCAAUAAUUUCUCUUGUUUCAUUAAAAUUGUUAGUAGUUUUUUGCAUAAUUCAUACACAGCCCAUAUUUACGUAAACAUAUAAUAUGUAACUACAAAUGUAUAUAAACAUACCCCUUGCCACACACACAAAAUAUAAAAUAUUAAAAUAAAAAAUUUUAAUAGACAAUUCUCUGUACGCUUAAUCGCACAUUUAUUAAUUUUUGUUCAUUACCAGUAAAAGCGACUUGUCGGUUUUUUUUAACUUUUACUCGCAAUAAACAGAUUAAUAAAAUUAGAAAAUGCACGGUAUAAUAGUCAUUGAAUAUAACAGUCAUUGAAAGAAUAAACUUUUACAGAGCCUUUAUAUUUAUUGCUAUAUUAGAUCUUUUUAGAUAAUUUUUAACAAAUUAAAUCGCGAUAACUUACUUUUGAUAGGAAUUUGCCGACGAGGGGUUACAUCUAAAUUGUUAUCAAUAUUUUGCAAAGAUCAUGAAAACAAAUAAUGCUUUAACGAUACAUAUUUUAGUAAGUAGUAAAGUUAUUAUUAUUGAAAGAAACUGGAAAAAGAACACAUUAAUAAACUACUAACUUUUCGAAUUUGUAGCUGGUAUAUUAUUGAGUGUUGAAGUUUGCGGAGAAACGAGAGUUGAUAUGGAAGAAGAAGGAAGCAUGGGUAGUAGUCGGUGUUAGAGAAGAAAUAUCGGACUCCGAAAAUGAAGUUACAUCAUCUUUGUGUUGUUUAGAUUUCUCAUAUAUUUCACUUUCAAUGACAUUGUCUGGUGAACUCAUAGUCCUGGAAUAAAUAUAUUUAUUUAUACAUACAACUUUAUAUGGUUAUACAUAUAACAAUAUACACAGUCUGUUCUUAUUAUGUUAUUAUUUUAUAUUUAAGUUUAUUUUAAGUACAGAUACAAAACAUUUAAUAUUAAAUUAGCAUUAAAUUUCAAAUCACAUUAGCAUUUUAAGAUAAGAAAAAAAAUAAAAACGCUAAAUUUAAUUUUAUGAUGGAAAUAGUAUAACUAGAUUUCAAUCUGUUAACUAGCUUAGAGUGACUUAAAUAACAGAUUUUAAUCUGUUAACUCUUCUAGAUGUAAAUGAGUUGAACAUGAAACAAACUGUCUUUAAUAUAUAUUGUCUUUGACAAAUUAAUAAAAAAAUAUUCAAAUUUUGAAUAAAAAAACUUACUGUCGCGUUUUAUAAAUGUCGUUCAAGAAAGUCAUAACAUCAUAAACCUGAACCUGAACCUGAACCUGAACUUCGAUUUUUUUACAUUAGCGGCGUCAACUGCCAAUUCACUGGGAAUGUAGCUUUUUUUCGAGCUUUUACAUAAUUAUCUCGCAAGUAUUUUCAGCAAGCUUUAGCCUCCUCUGAAGUAAGAGCUCGUAACAAAUUAUAAUUGGUUCACAAUGUGUAAAAUAUUCACAUAUGUAUUUAUAAAUGUAAAUAUAGAUAUAGUACCUCCUAGAAUGUUAGAAAUUUCGACCCACAAAGCAUUUUUAUGCAUAUGCAGCUUGUCUUUUUGUAUGUGAUGGUCCUUAAUCAGCGGCGAUUUCAUGGUGAUAUAAUGGUAGUUCGAGGUUAGUGACGUGUGCGAGGUUAGCGUUGAAUCGGUUUUUAUUUUAUUUAUGCACAAUGUGCAUAUUACAUCGUGAAAGGAAAUACUUUGCUUAUUACAUCGUGGAGGGAAAUACGGCUGUUUAAUUUGAAGAUCAGAUAAGUUACACAAAAUUUCAUUUUUAGAAUAAGUAUUCUGAGAUAAGAGUAAUACUUUGCGUUAUGUUUUAUUUUUAGUUAUAUUAAAGGAAAAAAAACUUCAUUUGGACCGAAACUAGAAUAGAAAAUAAAAAAAGUGGGCGAGUGAGAAAAGGAAGAUUAUAAAUAUCAAAGCUCGGAAUUUACAAUGUGCCAGUGUAUGCUGCUGUUAAUAAGAAAUUUACCAAGGUUCAAGAUGGAAUAUCACUACAAUCAUGGUGAAAGAAAAACAUAUUUAAGUGGCGAUGCUGGAUCAUCAUACGGAUAACAGACGGGGGGUUCCGGUUGCGUUCCUGAAAACAAGCGCAUAUAAUAGGCCCUGAAAAUGGCCCUUAAGAUGGCGGUACCAAUAAGGAAUCCUGUUCAUCGAGCGCGACAGGCAUAAAAUUGAACAUACCCAAUAGAAAUAUUCCUGCACUCCGAAUUUAUUGAGCGCGACGUGCAAGAAGGAGAAGCAAAGAAGACCACGAGGGGGUGGACCGUCGACCGCCAUUAUCGCUACUACAGACAAUCACGAUCAACCGGGACAGCAUUGGAGGUCAAUUUUUACACCAACGAGCAAGGAGCAGAUACCUAUUUCGAAAGCUACGGUUUGCCUUGGACUUCAGAUUUUUUCGACGAAAUUCUACUACAUAUGGAUAGGAUAGGAUAUCACAUCUGCAAGAAAUGUACUCUCAAACUUACACACAAUACUGCUACGUAUUUUUUUAUAUUUCACGUGUAUAGUUUUAAUUUCUUAAUUUGUUUAUCUGAUUAUAAGCAUAAUGACCAACUAAUUGUACUAAUUGUAAAUUAUUUUGUAAAAUUCUGUCAAUGGAUAAUUAAUUACUUUCAAUAAACUUGUCAAUGUUUACACCUAAAUUAAUUACUCAUAAUUAUAUAAUUAUAAUUAUAAGCUAUAAUUAUAUUUAAAUAUUUAUUAAUAUUUUUUAAAUAUGACUAAAGAAAAUUAAAAAUGCUAUUGAAGAAUUUUACAAUAAUUAUAGGACACCUUGUAUGUUACUUAUAAUUUUUUAUUUUUUAUAUACAUUUAAAACAGAUUGAUAUAUUCCACAAAUUUCAGUUUAUGUUUCGUGAAUAUCU